UAACCUGCCCUUGACUUCGGGAUAACUCCGGGAAACCGGGGCUAAUACCGGAUAUGAGCCGCCUUCGCAUGGGGGUGGUUGGAAAGUUUUUCGGUCAGGGAUGGGCUCGCGGCCUAUCAGCUUGUUGGUGGGGUGAUGGCCUACCAAGGCGACGACGGGUAGCCGGCCUGAGAGGGCGACCGGCCACACUGGGACUGAGACACGGCCCAGACUCCUACGGGAGGCAGCAGUGGGGAAUAUUGCACAAUGGGCGAAAGCCUGAUGCAGCGACGCCGCGUGAGGGAUGAAGGCCUUCGGGUUGUAAACCUCUUUCAGCAGGGAAGAAGCGCAAGUGACGGUACCUGCAGAAGAAGCGCCGGCUAACUACGUGCCAGCAGCCGCGGUAAUACGUAGGGCGCAAGCGUUGUCCGGAAUUAUUGGGCGUAAAGAGCUCGUAGGCGGUUUGUCGCGUCUGGUGUGAAAACUCGAGGCUCAACUUCGAGCUUGCAUCGGGUACGGGCAGACUAGAGUGCGGUAGGGGAGACUGGAAUUCCUGGUGUAGCGGUGGAAUGCGCAGAUAUCAGGAGGAACACCGAUGGCGAAGGCAGGUCUCUGGGCCGCAACUGACGCUGAGGAGCGAAAGCAUGGGGAGCGAACAGGAUUAGAUACCCUGGUAGUCCAUGCCGUAAACGUUGGGCACUAGGUGUGGGGCUCAUUCCACGAGUUCCGUGCCGCAGCAAACGCAUUAAGUGCCCCGCCUGGGGAGUACGGCCGCAAGGCUAAAACUCAAAGGAAUUGACGGGGGCCCGCACAAGCGGCGGAGCAUGCGGAUUAAUUCGAUGCA
rnacentral:rRNA from 1 species